GAGACAAUGCCAGGCUGCUGCGCUGGAGUUUGGCGCUGCAGCCCUUUGACUUUACGAUACACUAUCGCCCAGGGAAACAAAACGGCAACGCCGACGGGUUGUCCAGACAAACAGACCUUGAAAAGUGAUCUGUGAGCACUCCCCCGGACAUCCCCAAGCCGAUCCGUUGGGAUCAGACUGUGUAUGCCGGCUUGGUUCUGGGGGAGCAUUGUG